CCUACGGGAGGAGCAGUGGGGAAUAUUGGACAAUGGGCGAAAGCCUGAUCCAGCAAUACCGCGUGUGUGAAGAAGGCCUUCGGGUUGUAAAGCACUUUAAGCAGGGAAGAAAAAAUUCAAGCUAACAUCUUGAGUCUUGACGGUACCUGAAGAAUAAGCACCGGCUAACUCUGUGCCAGCAGCCGCGGUAAUACAGAGGGUGCAAGCGUUAAUCGGAUUUACUGGGCGUAAAGCGUGUGUAGGUGGUUGGGAAAGUCAAUUGUGAAAGCCCCGGGCUCAACUCGGGAACUGCUUUUGAUACUGUCUGACUAGAAUUCGGUAGAGGGAGGCGGAACUCCAGGUGUAGCGGUGAAAUGCGUAGAUAUCUGGAAGAACACCAAUGGCGAAGGCAACCUCCUGGGCCUGAAUUGACACUGAGACACGAAAGCGUGGGGAUCAAACAGGAUUAGAUACCCUGGUAGUCCACGCCGUAAACGAUGACAACUUGACGUCGGUUUGCUCUGCGAAUCGGUGUCGUAGCUAACGCGAUAAGUUGUCCGCCUGGGGAGGACGGCGCGAGUAGAACGACGAAGAAGUAGAGCGNGAGACGNGCGACGACGACGACGAGGGAGGAGG
rnacentral:rRNA from 1 species